rnacentral:lncRNA from 1 species
GAUAGGAAGAAACAUGAAGCGAUGAAACAUACUGAACAAUUCCAUGUUUAUGGAAAAAAAUUCUGGUAAUGAACUUACUUCACACCAAAGAGCCAAACAGGAGUAGCAUCAUUACCUCAACCAAUAUUGCCAGAGAAAAUCUUGACACAGAGAAGGUAAGCUCAGUGCUUAAUGUGAAAAUUUAUCUGCACGUACAGAACCAGUCCAUAAUACAGGUAGGUGUAUUCAGAGGAGGGCUGGGGGAUACAAAUGGUACACCAUCAAAAUUUGCUGUGAUCUUUUGAGAAGUGUCUGUUCAUGUCUUUUGCCCACUUUUUAGUGAGGUUAUUGGUUUUUUGCUUGUUGAAUUGUUUAAGUUUCUAAACAUAUAAAAAAAUGCUCAGCAUCACUAAUCAUCAGAGAAAUGCAAAUAAAAGCCAAAGUGAGAUAACAUCUCACACCACUGAGAAUGAUUAUUAUUAAAAAGUCAAAAAACAACAGGUGUGCUGGUGAGGCUACAGAGGAAAGGGAAUGCUUAUAUACUGUUAAUGGGAAUGUAAUUUAGUUUAGCACCUGUGGAAAUCAGUUUGGAGAUUUCUCAAAGAACAUAAAAGAGAAAUACCAUUCUACCCAGCAAUUCCAUUACUGGUUAUAUAUACAAAAGAAAAUAAAUUCUUAUCAAAAGGACACAUGUACUUGUGUGUUUAUCACAGCACUGUUCACCAUGGUGAAGACAUGGAAUCAACCAAGGUGAUUAUCAAAAGGGAAGAGGAAUGGAUUAAAAAAUAUAUGGUAGAUAUAGACCAUGGAAUCCUAUGCUGCCAUAAAAGAGAACAAAAUCAUGUCCUUUGAGGCAACAGCAUGGAUGCAGCUGGAAGCCGUUAUCCUAAGUGAAUUAACAGAGGAACAGUAAACCAAACACCACAUGGUCUUACUUAAAAGUGGGAGCUAAACAUUGGGUACUCAUGGACAUAAAGAUGCAUCAAUAGAUUACGAGGACUAACAGGAUUAAAAAACGGAUGCGUACUAUCUUCACCAUGUGGGACACAGGAUCAUUUUUACCCCAAACCUCAACAUCAUGCAAUAUACACAUGUAACAAGCCUGUACAUGUACCUCCUGAAUCUAUUAAAAAAUUGACUUUUUUUUUAAGAAUUUACUGCAAUCUUGGAAAAAUUCUUCUUCAAAGUCUUCUAAAAGCAUUUUAACUUUUUAUUUACAUUUGGAAAUUCAAGCCAUCUAAAAUGAAAUGUAACAUAUGGUCUGACAUAGGUGCCAACAUUAUUUUUAUAUACAUAUCCAGUUUAGGCGGCAUUAUUUAUUGAGAAGAUGAAGCUUCCUCUAUGGCCCUACAGUUUCUCCUUUGUCAUAGAUUAGGUUUCUCCAUUUUUGUGGGUUUGUUUGUAAACCCUGUAUUCUGUUCCACUGGUCUAUUUAUCAAUCCUUGUUUCAAUCCACACUGUUUAUAGCAAAGUGUUAUAAGAUGAUUUUUGGCUAUUAGUAUAAAAUUGCUGAUUUGUAAUUAUUGGAGACUGACUUUAUUAUUUCCUGCUUUGCAUUUCUACAUAUCUUUUAGAAUCAGCUUGUCAUUUCCCAUCCCUUUCAAAAAACACUACCAUUUUUAUUGGGAUUAUGUUGCAUCUAUAUAUAACAGAGAAUUGUCUUCUAAUUCAUAAAUAUAGUAUAUCCCAAUUUAUUUUAUCUGUUCUAAUAUCUCUUAACAAUGGUUUAUUUUCUACUUGAAGUUUCCACUUAGCCUUCAUUAGAUCCACACCAUUAUAAAUGAUAUCAUUAAAAACAAACAAAAAAUUUACUUUCUAAUUGUUUGUUGCUAGUAUAUGUAACUACAAUUUAUUUUUAUACUAGCUUCAUGUCCAGUUCAGUGAUCAUCUCAAUUAACUAAUUCCAAUAAUUUGAGGUAUAUUUUUUUGAAUUUUCUAUGAAAAAAAUCAUGUCUGCACAUAAGUUGAUUUUUAUUUCUGCAAUAUAAUUAUUUGGCUUAUUGCACUGGCUAGGCUUUGCCAGAUAGUUAUUAAUGGGUCAUAGGAGAUAUCCUUAUCUCAUUACAGAAGUCAUACAUCUUUCAUUAUUUCACCAUUAAAUCUGAUAAUUCUUUUCUUUUUAAAAUAAAUGCCUUGUUUCAGACUAAGAAAAUUCUAUUUUAUUUCUAGUUUUCUGUUAUUUAAUAUUACAAAUGGGACUUGAGAUGAUUAUUAUAAUUCUUUUUUUCAUUAAUUUAGAAAAUUGUAUUAAUUGAUCUAAAAAUUUUAAGCCACCCCUGAAGUCCUGAAAUAAAUUCAUUUUUUAAAUUUAUACAUUGUGUUUUUAUUAAUUGAUAAUUUUUCUUGAUAAUAUUUUGUUUAUCAUUGUACUUAAUCAUGAAAUAUAUUAUAUUUUUAGGAUGUUGGUGUCAAGGUUAUGCUGGACUCAAUAAAAAGAAUGUGGCAUAUUCUCAGUUUAUAAAAGUGGCUAUUUAGGACUGGUAUAAUUUAUUAUUUGUUUAAAGGUUUGCAUACGGAGUUUCUUCUGGAUAUGGAGUUUUAUCCAGAUAAUUAUUUUAAUUAGAUUCAAUUCUAAUAGGUUUCUAAAUUCAGUUCUAAUUAGGUUUUUUAUUUCUUCUAUCAGUUUUGAAAAUCUGUGUUUUUCUAAGAGUUUUAUUUAUUUUUUUCUAUUUAUUGGCAUAAAUUUGUUUAUAAUAUUCUGAUUUUUUUGAUUAUGUAUUCCCACAAUCACCCUGUGAAAUAAACUACCUUAAGAUUUACUGGCUUAAAACAAUAUAUACUGCUUUGUGUGGAUGGAUUUGAUUUUUUUGUUUUGUUUUGUUUUGUGGUCUAGUGAGCUACAUAAAUUCAUUAAUUUUAGUUUAAAUGUAGAUUUGUUUGGGAUUUUCUGUGUGAAGACAUCAUGUUAUGUGCAAAUAGUGAGAAUUUUGGUUCUGCCUUUUCACUAUUACAUGUUUACUUAUUUGUUUAUUUAAUUUGUUUUUAUUGGAAUUGCACUUUCUGCUUGGCAACAUGGCACAGUUCUUGUAGUCUGAGCUGGGCUUGAAGGGAUCACUUACACAGCAGCAGUCAAUUGUGUUAAGCUGAGCAGCUCUGCUUUUCUUGGCUGGGCCCUCUUACAUGUCUGGAGCCUCAGCUAUGCCUUUAUGGCUCAAAUGAUUUUGCUUCACAUGGUUUCUCAUCCAUUUGGACCAACUUGAGCUUGUUCGUAAGGAGAAAGUAGGGGCCUAACAGAAAGAGGGAGAGAGAUUAGAAGCAUGGAAGGCCUUUUGAGACCUUUGCUUAGAACUCACACAUCAACAUUUUACACCACAUUUUGUCGGUCAAGAAAACUACAAGACCUACUUCAAAGGAUGUGGAAGUAGAAUCAACCUCUCUAUAGGAGGACCUGCAAAGUCACAUUGUGAAAGAAAAGACAGAGGGAAAAAGCACAGAAGCCAUUUUUGCAGUCAAUCUACCAUACUCAUUUUCUUUUCACCAAUUUUAUUGAUGUAAUGUUUUUAUCCUUUUCAUUGUUACUAUUAACAUUUGGG